rnacentral:rRNA from 1 species
GAUGAACGCUGGCGGCGUGCCUAAUACAUGCAAGUCGAGCGAACAGAUGAGGAGCUUGCUCCUCUGACGUUAGCGGCGGACGGGUGAGUAACACGUGGAUAACCUACCUAUAAGACUGGGAUAACUUCGGCAAACCGGAGCUAAUACCGGAUAAUAUAUUGAACCGCAUGGUUCAAUAGUGAAAGACGGUUUUGCUGUCACUUAUAGAUGGAUCCGCGCCGCAUUAGCUAGUUGGUAAGGUAACGGCUUACCAAGGCAACGAUGCGUAGCCGACCUGAGAGGGUGAUCGGCCACACUGGAACUGAGACACGGUCCAGACUCCUACGGGAGGCAGCAGUAGGGAAUCUUCCGCAAUGGGCGAAAGCCUGACGGAGCAACGCCGCGUGAGUGAUGAAGGUCUUCGGAUCGUAAAACUCUGUUAUUAGGGAAGAACAAAUGUGUAAGUAACUAUGCACGUCUUGACGGUACCUAAUCAGAAAGCCACGGCUAACUACGUG